GGACUUUUUUUUUUUACUGUGUAUAGACCCUCUAGAGCUGCUACUGAGAGUAAACCAAACUGUUGCCAUGGUGAAGCCUAUGCCAGACACGUCUCCAAUCACGUAUUGCACCAUCUACAAGAAACUUUGGGAAUUGCAAGUGAUGCUGUCCUUCACAUUCUUGAGCAGAUGACCCAACAACUUCAAUCAAACAAGACCACUUUUCAGCUCUGUGGUGAUGUGAAACCAACUUUCUACUGGCCAUUGGAACCAUGCCUGCCCUGAUCUUCUGAAAGGAGGACUGAUAGUGUGAUGUACAUCACAGCUACUACACCUUUCAGCAUGCGUGUGGCCACUCCUCUCUGUGCUACUGACGUAUAUCUUGAGAACGCCGUCCGUAACUGCGAAAAGACUUCCACAUAUAAAAGGCUAUGGCUCAUUGGAAGAAGUUUAUUGCGAAGUAAGCUCCUAUUGUUGACAUCUAAUCCCCCCCUA